rnacentral:rRNA from 1 species
CCUACGGGAGGCUGCAGUGGGGAAUAUUGGACAAUGGGGGCAACCCUGAUCCAGCCAUGCCGCGUGUGUGAAGAAGGCCCUCGGGUUGUAUAGCACUUUCAGUGAGGAAGAACGCCUGGUGGUUAAUACCCAUCAGGAAAGACAUCACUCACAGAAGAAGCACCGGCUAACUCCGUGCCAGCAGCCGCGGUAAUACGGAGGGUGCGAGCGUUAAUCGGAAUUACUGGGCGUAAAGCGCGCGUAGGUGGCUUGAUAAGCCGGUUGUGAAAGCCCCGGGCUCAACCUGGGAACGGCAUCCGGAACUGUCAAGCUAGAGUGCAGGAGAGGAAGGUAGAAUUCCCGGUGUAGCGGUGAAAUGCGUAGAGAUCGGGAGGAAUACCAGUGGCGAAGGCGGCCUUCUGGACUGACACUGACACUGAGGUGCGAAAGCGUGGGUAGCAAACAGGAUUAGAUACCCUAGUAGUC